CGUGCCCUUGAUCUCCGUUCCUUUCCCCCAGAAGAGGCUCCAGCCGAGCUCCAAAACGACCCCCAGUCGAGCCGGGCCCAGACGUCCACCCAAGGAACGCCAGGCCUCCCGCUGCUCCUGCUGGGGCUUCACCGUCUGCUGGGACGCGAGGGGGCAAGAACCUGGUGCCUCUGGGUACUUAUGGUGGCGUGUCUAGUGCUCCCCAACGCCAUCAGGGGGACGAGUGGCCUUCAGGACUCCUCUCAGACUAGUAAAGAAGCCGAGGCAUUGUUGAAAGUCGCCGCGAGGGAUGAAAACAGAGUCCCUGAUGUCACGCUCUUAAGAAAACAGGAGUUGAAAGGUCCCCAAACUGUGUGUGGAGGAAAAUAUCAACGGCAUCCCGAGUAACGACAGCAGCACCCAGCCGGUGGCCACACAAGCUGCACGCAAGAUGCUCUCAGCCCGCCCCUAGAUGCCACCCCGGAUGCCGGCCUGGUGCACCCCCUUGUACGCCUCCUGGAGAGGGCAGACAACCUCGGGCGCUGUCGUGUCGUUCGUCAAGCUGCUCCGCUCACCGCACACCAACGUGGCAUGCAGAGCAAGCCGUGUGGGCGCCGGGAAACACUGCUGGCGAUGGCCCCAAACUCAGAGACUUCGUCAUUAAGGCUGGCAUUGUAC